UGAAUAUACCGGUUCUCGUUAGAUCACCGAAGUCAAGCAUCAUUGGGCGCGGUCAGUACUUAGGUAGGUGGGUGACCACCUGGGAACACUGCGUGCCGUU
rnacentral:rRNA from 1 species